UACGUAGGGGGCAAGCGUUGCCCGGAUUUACUGGGCGUAAAGAGCGCGCAGGCGGCUUGGCAAGUCGGGUGUGAAAUCCCGGGGCUCAACCCCGUGACUGCAUCCGAUACUGUCAGGCUAGAGGUAGGUAGGGGAGAUCGGAAUUCCUGGUGUAGCGGUGAAAUGCGCAGAUAUCAGGAGGAACACCGGUGGCGAAGGCGGAUCUCUGGGCCUUACCUGACGCUCAGGCGCGAAAGCUAGGGGAGCGAACAGG
rnacentral:rRNA from 1 species